UGGCGGACGGGUGAGUAAUGUCGUGGGAAACUGCCUGAUGGGAGGGGGAUAACUACUGGAAACGGUAGCUAAUACCGCAUAACGUCGCAAGACCAAAGAGGGGGACCUUCGGGCCUCUUGCCAUCGGAUGUGCCCAGAUGGGAUUAGCUAGUAGGUGGGGUAACGGCUCACCUAGGCGACGAUCCCUAGCUGGUCUGAGAGGAUGACCAGCCACACUGGAACUGAGACACGGUCCAGACUCCUACGGGAGGCAGCAUG
rnacentral:rRNA from 1 species